CCCCCCCCCAUGGCCAUGCUAGUACCCCUGCCCCCAGGCUGCCGGACCUGUAGCAGUGAAUAAUUUUUUAUUUUUUUAAAAAAAGUUUAGAACCCCCAGACUGGCUCGAAUUAACUGAACCAGGCAAACUAGUUUUGUACCCACCUCUAGUCCUUAGGGGUGGUAAAUUGGUGCAAGUGCCUGAGCCCAGCACAGGACCUGUGUAGAGGAGGGGGCCCCAACAUCUCCACACUGUUCUUGCCCAGGCCCUGCCCACCCUGCUAUGGACGGCCUUGUCCAGAAUAUUCUGACUGGUCCUUGGGGUUGACAGAUCUGGGGAAAUCAUACCAAAUAUAGCUCAUCCAGUACACCUUUAAGUGAACUGCAUAACUAAUGUAAAAUGUGGAUACAGGAGAGCACACAUCAAAACACUUUUAGUACAAUAAAAAGACUUAUUACUGCAUCACCUGUUCUAGCACGAUAUUAGUAAAUUUACAUAAAACAGUGACAACAAACACAGUCUAUCUGCUCAGAGCCAUACUCAUGCAAAAGCAGCCAUGUGAAUGCCUUAGUGCCGACUUCUAUAAUCUGAAUUUCACCUAGACCUGCACAACAAAUAAUGGUUUGUUCCGGCCCACUGGGGCAUUUGAGUUGUGCACCCUAAAGGCAGAUCACAAACUCCUAUUGAAUUUCCUGAGGUUGAAACCCAUUGCCAGCACUGAUGUUCAGGCUCCCAGAAGAGUCUCUGCUCAUGUCUGGGACUAUAGGCUUGUAGUUCCCACUCUUAACAUGCUCAGAGUCUCAUGGGAUCAUGGACUCAGUGUUUGUUGGCACAUGGGGACAGGUCACUUAGCAGGCAGUGGGACUAUCAACCCCAGGUUCACCAGCUAUCAAGUGAAUUGAAAGGGGAUAAGCCUCAUGCAUUUCACUCUAUUGGGAAUGUCUAAGGAGACCUGAGUUAGCCUCUGAGUUAACUCCAAGGUCUCUCUGCCCAGAGACUGAUCCUGUUUCCUCCCAUCCUUGGUUGCCUCAAACCAGCUAAACUAAUCACCUCAGCAGGAAAGCCGAUAAGGCACUGUGAACGCUGCUCCAUAGGAACUCAGGAGAUGCACUUAUUAAAAAUACUGAUUGGUUUACUUGAUCCUUCCAACCUGAUAGUUAAGUCCUUGCACAUCCAUUCAGUCCCUUUACAUACCGAUUGUUCUCGACCUUUUCACGCCAUUGUGCUUAUGCUAGCACAUACAACAAAGACGAUGGAUUCUUUUGGGAGCCACAGGAAUUCCCCUCCUCAGGAAGGAGGAGGAAUCAGCAUUUUGCCUCAGGGCACAUUUUGGGCUAUAACCGGCCCUGAUUUCAUGAAUCAGUGUGCUUCCUUUGGUCUCUACCUCAACUUAAUCUCUGUCAGCUCAUUUCCUGGAGCCAGAAUCUUGCAUAAAUGUAUUCUGAUGUGGGACAGCUCCACUCUAGCUUAAUAAUUCCCCUACACAAGCCUGAACACAUUUAAGGGUGUUCCGACAGUCAUCAACAGUCAGUUCCAUUAACAAACCACAUGAUGCACGUUUUCUAGAAUGCAAAUACUUUGCCAAUGGCUGAUGUCAUUUUCCUUCAGCAUUGCACAUAUAUUAGGGAAGUCUCUAGUAGCAGCUGACAUUUUAUCCUGAGCCUCAUGGAGGGAUUACCAAGAAAUCUUAAAACAUCCAUCAAUUUUGUUGUGGCAAUAAUUCCAAAAACAUUUGUGGUGGCAACAGUAAACAUGCCUGUUCAAUAAUAUACACAAAUUCUAGGUAUUUGGAGUGCAUGCAGAGUGUCCAUGCAGAUGAACCACCAUGCCCCACACAAUAAAAGAUGCACAUAGGAGUGUGUCCUACCCUUCUGCCACCGACAGGAUGGAUGCACUCUUGGCAUGACCCCUUCCUUAUCACGCAUGCUGGACUCCAUAUCAUCCAUAUUGGCCGAAACAUUUUUUUUUAAAAUGCAUAAUGGCACCAUUCCCAUUUUAGACGAGUGUUUGCAAAGCAAUAGUGCCACUUAACAUGGUAUUUAUUUGUAAUUGAAUCACAGCUGCUUAAACAGACUUCAAGUACAACUUUUGUGAAUGACAUUCACAGUACAACUAUUUUGGCCUGCUAUUUUAUUCUGUUUUAUUGAAUAGUAUAUUUUGACCCCAGAAACCUGAGCUCAGAGAAACUACAUACUGUAGCCCUGAUGUUGUUAGUAAAUGGCUGGUGUGGGGGGUGGGGGGAGAGAGAGAGAUGGCUUUGAUUUAAAAAGAAUAUAAUUUUGUAAUGAAGAAUCUUGUUUGAUAUAUUUCUCUGAAUCAGUUGCUGAAAGUCAUCACUUACACUUUGAAAAAACAAUGGUAAGACAGUUCAGUUGAAAAUCACCCAUUUCUUACAUGGUAUUUCCCCUCAUGAUAGCAAUUUGUUUUUUUUCCUUUCUUAGAACCAUCCAGGAGCAUCUUGGAUUUGCACUGAUGUAAAUAUUCUGACAUCUCUUAGAACACAAUAGUUCAACUGUUAAUCUGCAAUGUCUGGUUUGCAGAGCAGCUUUUAAAAUGACGCUUGGAGAACAGCCGAUGGGAGCUGGGCAGUAUCCCGUUCGGCAAAAGCCAUCCUUUAAAGUGCGAGGGUGCAAAGGAUUCAGAUAAAACAGAAGAGGACAGAGCAGUACCGCAUAAAGAGCAGACGGGAGACUGUGCCAGCUGGUCAAAGAGUCAAAAGAAAGAUAGCGUACAUCAGCAGGAGAUCUGUUGCUGAAAGGAAGGAUCAUAACCAUGCUGUAAAUUUUGGAGCACAACUCAAUUGAGACAAGCCUGACUUGACAAUUUCCAUCCUGAUGCAAUUCUGAGAGGCAGCUGACUCUUCUUGGGAUUCAAAACCUGAUAUCCAAAAUGGCCAAUAUGUGCAUAGCAUUGCCACCUUAUCAACCUAUUCUCGGAGAGUCCAACAGAAGGUUCUGUCCCAUGAGCAAAACAAAGGUGCCUCCACAUGCAGCAGUACACAAAGCAGAGCUGUCCCAUGGAGAUCUUGUCAUAGAGGCAGGUCAUUCCGCAUCUACUGCUAGCUAUGCUGAUGAUAGAGCACUAGAGAAGAUGAGAGGUUCAAUUUACUGGCUUUGGUGCUGUUGCAUUAUAGAUAACCUCAACCCAAGACUGAUGCUGCGGAAGCCUUCUUUGCUAUGCCAUCUGCCCCUGCUGCAGCACACAAGUACCAUACAAGAGCACUUAUCUAGUAUUAAGGGAAUUGUUAGUAUGUUUACGAUGACUGUUAGCAUCUAAAUACCACUGCUGGGACAGAAGAACAGGACGCAAAGUUUAAACAAAUCAGUGGCCAUCAUCCAACUGAGACCAUUGAAAUAAAUGAAACCAGUUUGUCAUGACUAACUUAAGUCCCAUUAAUGUCAAUGGGACUUAGAUACGACUUAGUGUAGAUGCUGACCAUAUUUUUAAAAUUGCAAUAAUACUGACCCUUUAAAUUUUUUCCCCAUGUAGAAGAUGUGAAGUGAGUUUAUCAGCAUAUGUAGGUGUCUACUCCUGCAAGGAAACGUAAAAACUUGUGAAAGAUUUCCAAGCUGUAUAAUUUAUAGAUCAAGGGGAAAAAAUCCUCCAUUUAUUUGUUUAUUUUUUAUUCAUUUAUCAUCAUGGAAUGAAGACGUUUGCAUGUGAGCCAGAAAUUAAAGUGAAUAUUUUA